rnacentral:lncRNA from 1 species
GUUUGAGAUGAGAAAGGUUUAAUUAAAGGGAAAGGGAAUGGGGAGAAAAAGAAACCACAGAAACAGUAAGUCCGCAUGGAAGCACAGAGAGAAGGGAAAAAAUUAUUCUCUACUUCCCAUCAACCAGCGAUGUUCAGCCAUGUCCUGGGAAGCAGAGCCUCAAAAUAUGUAGUGGUUGUUCAGGAGGAACAGCCCCCUCCCCCAUGAGAGCCCCCCUUUCUAUUGCUGAGUGUGACAUCAGGUGUUAUGGAAUGUCCCUUUGGUUGGUUUAGGUCGGCUGCCCUAGCGAUGUCCCCUCCCCAUCACUUGCCCACCCCCAGCCUGCUGGCUCUUGGGGGCUUGGAAGGAGUCCUGAUGCUGUGCCAGCACUGUGCAGCAAUAGACAACACUGGAGUGAUAUCAGUGCUGUUCCAGCUACGAGUGCAGAGCACAGCACUGUGUGGGCUGCUGCAGGGAAAAGGUGACUCCAGCUCAGACAGACCCAACACAAUUAUGUCGUGCAAUUAUCUCCACACAAGACAAACAUUUCAAUACAGAAUCAGGCUACAGCAUCUGAUGCCAUUGCUGUUCAUGCGAAAUCAGAAUAUGAGCCAAAAUCAGGAGAAUGGAAUUCAUUGUACUAUGCCACACUGCUGAUCAACUAAAACAGAGAACCCCAAAAUCUGUAAAAUGAAAUUACAGCAUGAUGUCAUAAAGGAAAGUGAGUACUACUGUAGCUUAAAUAAAGGUAUUAAACUUCUUCA